AAAGUCGUAACAAGGUUUCCGUAGGUGAACCUGCGGAAGGAUCAUUACCAAAUAUCCAAUUUAUAUUGGUUUUACACCAAUAAACAACUUGUGCACUCGUUAACUGUCUCUGGCAGUGUCGUUUGAAAACCUUGGGGGAGGUUUUAUUUUUGGGGGGGGUCUGGAAAGAGUUUUUAAAGGGAGUUCUUGUAAUUCUUGGUAAUUCUCUGAAAGGCUCAAAUCAAAAAAAAUUCACCCACCCUUUGGGAUGAAAGCGCACUGCCAAAUGUAUAAACUUUACAUGUAUUUUUUAUUUCUAGUCUGAACUAUUUUUUCAUCUAAAGAUGAAUAAUAAAAAGACAACUUUUGACAACGGAUCUCUUGGUUCUC
rnacentral:misc_RNA from 1 species